ensembl:lncRNA
AGUUUAUGAAUGGCUGUCACUCAUCUCUUGAAACGUCCAGCUGAAUUCAAUGGAACAGAGUUUAUAUUUUGGAACAUUCAACCCUUCUUUCACGCUUCCCUCUUCUCUCUAAUGAUCAGAACCAAUCAGAUGAGUCAGAUUUAUGAGGGCUCCAGUGAAGCGUGCCAACUUUUGGAUGCUUAUUGUUGUGUUGAUCUUCUGCCUAAGAUCUCCUGUUGUUUUUCAACAUCAGUGUUGCAUACAACAUCAUAAGGCUAUGGGGAUGCUACACCUCUAUCUUGGUUUGUAUGAAGGGGCUGAGGAGUGCUAUUUCCUGUGCUGAGCGUGAAAGAAAGAAAACGAAGAAGAAAAAAGAACAGAGAAAGAGGGAGAGAGAGAAAAAGACUGCUGCAAAGGCCUCUGGGUAUUGGCUGGUUUGUGGUUAGGCUAGGUCGCAAUCUGAAGCGAGAGGAGGAAGGAGGAGAGGGAGGGGGGCUUCCACUUUCCUUCCUACCGCUCACCAAAUUGAUACAGCCACUGCCAAGGGGAAACUCCCAAAGCGGGACCCAUGUAGGGCAAAACAGGUCAAAAAAGCACAAAAAUAAGAUGGCAGAACCCUAAAGCUCACAAACAACUUUGCACUCGCUCAAGGAGGGAAUGCACUUCAACGACACAGGCAGAAAAGCGAGGGCUGUGUGUUUGCACCUGUGUGGAGCCUGGCUAAAAGGAGAUGUGUGGAAAGAGACAUCUGUGGAGAGGUGGAGGAAAGUGAGAGAAGGCUGGAGGGAGUUGUAUGUGUGGGGAGAGAGAGACAGAUAACUGGAGGAAAACUGUGAAACAGUGGUUUGAUAAAAAUGGGUGCACAGCUGUCAAUAGCUGAAGUGAAAACAGGAAACAAAUUAAGAUGACAUCUCCCGACACAUCUGACAACCCCAUGAUGACAUUCAGAAGGUAUUUUAGGAUGCGAGUAGGAGUGCACAUUCACGGACGGACAUCACGAAGCGUGAGUUUUGACCUCUGUCCGAUCACACAGACCCCUGGCACAGUAUCGCACCAUACCCUCCUUGCGGGUACGAGGCAGACAUUAGGCCUCAGAAUCUGAGUGCUAGCGACUUGCUUGCUCUGUUCACACUCUCACAUCCUGAGCAGGCGUUUGAGCGUUGCGGACUGAAAAGGUCAGUGGAACGUAACCACAGAGGAGCUGAAGGAGCCAGUUAGCUGUAACAACCAAAGGCCUAACACUGGUCUCACAUCUCUGUAUGGAGUGUGGUGUCACUUAGUCAGCAAACCCUUAACUCAACGAUGUCCCUGACACUGGGGAAGCGUUU